rnacentral:rRNA from 1 species
UACGUAGGGGGCAAGCGUUGUCCGGAUUUAUUGGGCGUAAAGAGCGUGUAGGCGGCCAGACAGGUCAGCUGUGAAAACUCGAGGCUCAACCUCGAGACGUCGGUUGAAACCGUCUGGCUAGAGUCCGGAAGAGGAGAGUGGAAUUCCCGGUGUAGUGGUGAAAUGCGUAGAUAUCGGGAGGAACACCAGUGGCGAAGGCGACUACCUGGCCUGUUCUUGACGCUGAGGCGCGAAAGCUAGGGGAGCAAACGGG